rnacentral:rRNA from 1 species
UACAGAGGGGGCAAGCGUUAUUCGGAAUUAUUGGGCGUAAAGGGCGCGUAGGCGGCAUGGCAAGUGGAAGGUGAAAUCUCUCGGCUUAACCGAGGAACUGCCCUCCAAACUGCUUGGCUUGAGUACGGGAGAGGAUGAGGGAAUUCCUGGUGUAGCGGUGAAAUGCGUAGAUAUCAGGAGGAACACCGGUGGCGAAGGCGCUCAUCUGGCCCGAUACUGACGCUGAGGCGCGAAAGCUAGGGGAGCAAACGGG